rnacentral:rRNA from 1 species
UACAGAGGGUGCAAGCGUUGUCCGGAAUCACUGGGCGUAAAGGGCGCGUAGGCGGCCUGAUAAGUCGGAGGUGAAAUCCUGGGGCUUAACCUGAGGGCUGCCUUCUAGACUGUCCGGCUCGAGCACAGUAGAGGCAGGUGGAAUUCCCGGUGUAGCGGUGGAAUGCGUAGAGAUCGGGAAGAACAUCGGUGGCGAAGGCGGCCUGCUGGGCUGUAGCUGACGCUGAGGCGCGACAGCGUGGGGAGCAAACAGG